rnacentral:rRNA from 1 species
AUAUCAGUCAUGCAUAGCAUAUCAAUAAGCGGAGGAAAAGAAACUAACAAGGAUUCCCUUAGUAACGGCGAGUGAAGCGGGAAGAGCUCAAAUUUGAAAUCUUCAAGGUUCUACCUUGACGAGUUGUAGUUUAUAGAAGUGUUUUCUGUUAGUGGAGUGGCAAAAGUUCUUUGGAAUAGGACAUCAUAGAGGGUGAGAAUCCCGUAUUUGGUCAUUCCUCCUAGCGUUGUGAUACACUUUCAACGAGUCGGAUUGUUUGGGAAUGCAGUCCAAAAUGGGUGGUAAAUUUCAUCUAAAGCUAAAUAUUGGCGAGAGACCGAUAGCGAACAAGUACCGUGAGGGAAAGAUGAAAAGAACUUUGAAAAGAGAGUUAAACAGUACGUGAAAUUGUCAAAAGGGAAGCGUUUGACACCAGUGUUGUUUUUCCGAAAAUCAAUUACGAAUGUUUUGUUUUUAAGAAGUUAUGACUUCAUCGGCUUGCUUCUUUCUUUACGAAACUUUCUUAAUGCACUUUUCGGUUAACAAGUCAACAUCAAUUUCUUUUGUUGUAAAAGGGUAUGAGGAAGGUGGCUUUCUUUUCGGAGAAAGUGUUUAUAGCCUUGUGCCUCUGCAAUCGGAGAGAUUGAGGUCUGCAGCGUAGAUCCUUCGGGGUUAGAUACGUUUGUGCUAAGUUAUAGCUUUUCAUAGACAACUUGUUGACUAUGUUAAGUCUUGUAGCUUACUCGCUGAUGCUAUUUUACCUACGCUUAGGAUGUUGAUCUCUCACAGUCGAGC